rnacentral:rRNA from 1 species
CACGUAGGGCGCGAGCGUUGUCCGGAAUUAUUGGGCGUAAAGGGCUCGUAGGCGGCCUGUUGCGUCCGCUGUGAAAGCCCCGGGGCUUAACCCCGGGUCGGCAGUGGAUACGGGCAGGCUAGAGGUAGGUAGGGGAGAAUGGAAUUCCCGGUGUAGCGGUGAAAUGCGCAGAUAUCGGGAGGAACACCGGUGGCGAAGGCGGUUCUCUGGGCCUUACCUGACGCUGAGGAGCGAAAGCGUGGGGAGCGAACAGG